UACGUAGGGCGCAAGCGUUGUCCGGAAUUAUUGGGCGUAAAGAGCUCGUAGGCGGUUUGUCGCGUCUGCCGUGAAAGUCCGGGGCUCAACUCCGGAUCUGCGGUGGGUACGGGCAGACUAGAGUGAUGUAGGGGAGAGUGGAAUCCUGGUGUAGCGGUGAAAUGCGUAGAUAUCAGGAGGAAUACCGGUGGCGAAAGCGACUCUCUGGACGGCAACUGACGCUGAGGAGCGAAAGCAUGGGGGAGCGAACAGG
rnacentral:rRNA from 1 species